CCGUCUAGGGGUUUUCUUCUCUCUCUUCUCUAAAACCCUUUCUUCCAUUUUUAUUCACAGAAGUUUUCCUCAGUGGCAUGCAAUUCUUUCGUUCAGAUUACGUAUAAAACAAGUGGAGUUUGCAAUGUCAGAGAAAUCAAAUUAAAGGACCACAAAAAGUGCUAUGUCAGUGACGAAGAAAUCUCCACUCUUCUUCAGAGAUACACCCUUAAAACGGUGCUGGCAUUGUUGGAAGAGGUUGAUCAGGCGAAGGAAGUCAAGUAUGAUUGGAAUGCGUUGGUGAAGAAGACCAAGACUGGGAUUACUAAUGCCAAGGAGUAUCAAAUGCUAUGGCGUCAUUUGGCUUACGGCCAUGCAUUUGUCUAUGGAUUGGUUGAUGAAGCUCAACCUCUGGAUGAUGCCAGUGAUUUAGAAUGUGAAUUGGAAGCUUACCCAGCAGUAACUAGUGAAGCAUCAGCAGAAGCUUCAGCAUUUGUGAAGGUGAAACAAAUAUGAAUGCACCGAGUAAUUUCAUCCAGUAAUUUUAUACCCUUUGUGGAAAA